GUUUCCAUAGUGUAGUGGGUAUCACGUUUGCCUAACACGCGAAAGAUCCCUGGUUCAAGACCAGGAGGAAACA
rfam:Phaethon lepturus contig70586, whole genome shotgun sequence.